rnacentral:lncRNA from 1 species
GCUUCCUAAUACCAUCACAUUGAGGAAUGGGAAUUGAACCUGUGAAUUUUGUGGGGACACAAUCAUUUGGCUCAUAGCAAUCCUCACAGUCAAAUCAGCUUUUAAAAUGUUGAGUUAGCCAGAUAAGGAUUUUAAAUGUUGCUAUUUUUAUACCAGGAUUUUGGCUCUUACAUGUAUUAUAUAACUUUAAGAGGGUGGGAUAUAUCGUAGGCACUAUUUUCCAGAGAUCUUCAACUAUAGAACUCCUUUUCCUACAGAGUAUCCUGAGGAGCUAAUGUCUAGGAAAUGCACUCUGGUGUUGCUGUGUCUUGGCACUGGACAUCUCUAGGGUUUUUUUUUUUUUUUUCCAAUCUCAUUACAGAAGCCCAUUAGUAACUUGGCAUGUGUAUGAGACUACUGCUGUAAGGGGACAUUUCAUAUAUUACUGUGUCUCUUGGGGCUAGAAGCACCUACAGUAUCUCUCAGAAUGCCGAUUGUAUAAUUGGCACUCCAUUGACACUGGAUUUUUGGAAUGAGUGGGCAGAUGGAAGCAUUUUGUUAGCUGAAGCAAGUUUCGUAUAAAGCAAGGCUGCCUAGGAAAUGUGUAUCCAGUAUUACAGACCUGUGAUUCAGGGUAGAGAAAAUCAGACAGUGAAUACUUGUGAACAGACAAGCUGGCAAGCUUUGUUUCAACAAACUCUUCAUAUUAUCACAAAACACAAGAAAACAAAACACCAGACUUCUCUUCCAGAAGAAGCUUCUGCUUGUGUAAAAUGAGUCUAGUGGCUCUGGAGGGAGGGUGCAGGGAGGUGAUAAGGAAAGUAGAAAAAGAGUUGUGAAACAUGAUUCAUUUCUCCUAAGAUUUUUUCCAACUCUCAUUGCCUAAUUUUCCAUACUUCUGUUUGAUCUUACCUACGAGGAUAUCUGCUGAUGGUAGUAUGGAAACGGAGAACCCAUAUAGAGAUAUAUAAGUUGGUCAUUUUGAAAGCUUUUAGAUGAUGUGACUAAAAAGUGGAAGUUUCUGCCAACCUCACACCUUUGCGUGAUUCCAUAAUUUCUUGUUAUGGUUAGCUUGGUAGGCAUGAAAAAAUACCUUCUCUGCUCAGUGAAAUAUUACCAGCUCCCAGAGUGUGUGCUACUUUAGAUGAAGAUAAUAUACAAAAGAUAUUGCCAAAUGUUCUCCUCCAAGAUAGGAACAAAGUGCUUCUGAGACAGAUGCAAUCUCAUUAUAAACAACAACUUGGAUUGGGGAUAUAGAAAACUGAAGUUCCUUUGCAAUGGAUCAUUAAGGCCCUGACCAUAUACAGGUACAUGGAAUUAAUAACUGGUGUUGCUAACGUUUAAGCAUUUAAUUUAGAAGUUUCUUUGCACUUUAAAGAAACAAACAAUCCAAUCAUGAAAUGGGCAAAAGACAUGAAGAGAAAUCUCACAGAGGAAGACAUAGACAUGGCCAACACGCACAUGAGAAAAUGCUCUGCAUCACUUGCCAUCAGGGAAAUACAAA